CUGACUCUUGUCAGCAUUGCUUGAUGUUCAGUGUUAUUUUAUUGAAAGCCCAUAAUAUCUCUAGCUUCUAUAAAGUAAUAUGAGUGGGAUGUGGGGGACAUUUUUCUCUGUUGAGCACUAUAUUUCCUUUGGGUUCAUUUACCAGAAGGCAAGGGGGGGAGGUUUACCCACGCUAUCUUUCCUUUUCCCCACUUUCUGUCUUAUUCCCUUUUCCCCAUUUCUCAUUUAGCCGCCUGCCAGGAAAGGGAAUUAUCACUCUUGCAUGAGACAUGAUUUAUGAAGGACAUAAUUUGCCUCCCCGUGAUCUAUAAGAAUAGGUAAAAAUUGAGAGAGUCACUCCUCUCACUCAGUCUGAUAUUUUUUUCAACUGUGAAAAUGAAGUCAACAAUGAAGGGCCUGCUGAUUUCAAUCAUGGAGGGUCUUUGGCAUUUGACACUUGGUCUGAAUUGAUGGCAGUUGUACACUGGCUAACAUGUUUGCUGAUCAUUUAUUAAGAUAGAGUAAACCUAAACUGGCAGUAAAUUACUAUGCCAACAUGAGGACAUUUUAUGAAUGGGCUGACUAAGCCACUUGCCUGUUACGCUGUACCAUCUCCAUUUUUGGUUUAAGAUCACAGAUACGAGACCAUAAUUCAUAAACUAUAUGUGUCCAUUCACCAUGCUACAACUGCAUAUGGAUACAAAUGCAACAUGACAAUGUGCAAGAGUUCCGGGCCCCUUGACAUAAGAUUUUUAUUGAUUUCUACUAUUAAUAUAAUCUUUGAAACCCAUCCAUGAAGUGCAGAGCUAAGUCAGAUUACCAAGUCAGCAGGACAAUACAGGUGACUCAAUGGGUUCCAGUUCAAUUCUACAAGAGAUGAGAAAAGCAACCGUAUACAGGGAAAAACUCCUCUGGUGACCAAACUGGUGGUUGGAACCAUCAUGCACAGAAUACAGGAAGCUUGAGUCUCCUCCUGCUCCUUAGUGGUCUUGUUUAGGUCAAAAAUACAGAAAACCAGUAGAUGGAAGCAAAAAUUUGCAAAAGGGGUAUGCUACCAUCUAGUGGCCAUCUGUGUUUCAGCAGCCAGCUCAGUCUCCUGCUGGAAGAAAAACACUAGGAUGUCAUGGUAUCUCCAAUGUUGCAGCUACCCAGAAAUACAGUAUUGAGUUUGGCUCCUAACCAAGGUACACAAGACAUUAGAGGAAUGAAGGUAUUACGAACUUGUCACUACCUACCCUGCUUCUACCUUCCCUGUUUUAAGGAGCUCCCAAAAGGAAUUCAGCCAAAUUAUGGCCAUGUACAGAAAAUGGAGAAGACAGAACUUUCCUGGAGGCUGAACAACACUUUUAAUUCCACCUGAGUCAUCAAGAAGAGUAUGGAUCAGGAAAUCACAAAGCGAUUUAGCUAAGUCCAAGCCUGUUCUCUAAGGCCACGUGGCACACAGUAGUGUUUUCUCUUCAUGGGCUUUGCAGAUUUGGUUUUCAUUAGUUCUUCUCAUUUCUGUUCUUACUGGCAGAGAAAAAGCAGAAGCAUUCUUCCAUCUAUUUCCCCAGGCACUGAGCUGUAUUGUAAACCAGGGGUGGGUGUCUAAUAAAGCCCUUUAAGAAACCCCAUCUGUAUGAUACCCAGGACACCACCAGAGCAGGACCUUCAGGUGCUCCCUUGCCAUUUGCUUGAAGAAAUAAAAAAUAAAUGCAACCCUCCUGGAGCAAUUCAGAGGUUAAGACACACAACUCAAUGUUCCUUCACAGUUGUAGUUAUGAAGAGCUUAGAGUAAGACUGCCCUCUGGUGAACAAUGCAAAUACAGCCAUGAUCUUGUCCAACCUGGCAACAGGCAAAACAACUUUUAAGUCCCCUUCAUUGUUUAACUACCAGCCCAAGGUAAAUUGAAUACUUUCAAAAUCAAUACGACAUGAUGGGGUAUUAUUGAUAUAUGAAUCAUCCAUUCAAGGGAAGUCUAUUCAGCUCACAGCCCAGCCUUCAAGUGUUAACAAUUUCCUAUAUUCAGGAAAUUGAAGGGACAUUCAGGUUUUCUGUGAGAGGAGAAUCAUGCAGGUGGCAUUGUCUCAGUCUGCUCUUAAGCCCAGCUAGUAACUCACAAAAGUGAGAAGUGGCUCUGUCAUUAAAAACAAAAAGUAAGCCCACUGCCCAGAUCAAUGAAGCUGAGGAGGGCAGAAGCCAUCACAAAGCCCUCUGCUAUGACUGAACUCAUUUGUUUUUGAGAAGCUCUCAGAAGCUGAACUUAUGUUCAGACUUUUCAUGCUGUGGGACUCUGGAGGCAAAGGAAAAAGCAGGCGGCCAGGGAAGCAUAUGAAGCAUAAACCCUUAGCAAGCCAUUUAGACUUCUCCCCCAGCAGGAAACAAGACUUCUUUCUUCUAAUGAACGAGCCCAUCAGCCUUGCAUUAUUCCCCAGUGCCCAGGCCUAUGAGCGCAUUAACCUCAAGAGCAUACUGAACAUGGAAUCAACUUCUUGAAACUCCACUAGCAGCCUAACACAAGAAGCUGGAACUACUAAUGGAAGAGAUGCUCAAAUCUUGGCACACAAAACCCACAGAUUUAACAAGGUUCGGAGAUUCCAUCCUUGCCAAAAGAAAACAGCCUUUCAGAAAAGCCAGUGUGAAAUGAGUCAAGAGGAAGGCCAAGAAGUUCCACAGAAGUUCUUUCCUCUGGAUAGCCGAGCAGUGACAACAUGCUCCAACGUGUAUCAGGAACUGAAAAAGAGAGAGCGAGAGACAGGGAGGCUCCGCUGGCAUCUGAGGCAGGUCUGUAGCUGAAAUCUGGUCGCAGAAAGCAUUUGGCUUGGAAGGUUUAAGAGUCACCGUUUAAUCCCGUUUAAAUUACAAAAAGGAGGAGUGUGCACGCUACAAAAUAACCUUGAUAUGGGAACAUUAACCAGUUACAGCUUCCAUUCUGUGCAGAAAACCUGCUCCAGUAUGGCUGGGUAAUGCCAGCAGGGAGGCCUCCUAUACCCCAGGCAUGCUGGGAUUCCGAGAUUCAAUGCAGGGAUACCCCGCAGGUAGUGGAGUUAAGAUGCAGCAAUCAAUUCUGGCUUUGGUUUGAUUCUGAUGGGCGAUUUUUCUGUGGAGAAGGAAAAACACA